UUUUUUAAUUCACCAUUUUACAUGCAUAUUGCUUUUUUCAUGUAUGUGUGACCCACAUACAUAAUUAUUUUAUCUAUGAUAAAAUAAUCUAUCCAUCUAUGAUGGACCUGCUGAUAGUUAACUCGGAAGGUCUUGUGGGGGAUGUAAACGUUGGAGGCCGUCUUGGACAAAGUGAUCAUGAAAUGAUAAAAUUUUCAAUUCUCACUGAAGCAAGGCGGGGGGCCAGCAGGACUGCCACCCUGGACUUCCGAAGGGCAGACUUUGGCCUCUUCAGGAGCAUGAUUGGGGGUGUCCCUUGGGAGAUGGUCCUCGAGGGCAAGGGUGCCCAGGAAAGCUGGUCAUUCUUCAAGGAGGCACUCUUAAAGGCGCAAGAUAAAGCUAUUCCCAAGUCCCUAAAAUCAAGCAGGAAGGGAAGAAGACCAGCCUGGCUAAAUAGAGAGCUUCGGCUGGAACUCAGGAACAAAAAGAAGGCUUAUAAUCUUUGGAAAAAGGGCCUGGCAGAUAAGGAGAAAUACCAUGAAGCGGUGAGGAUAUGCAGGGGGAAAAUUAGAAGGGCCAAGGCUCAAGUGGAGCUCAGCUUGGCCACCAAUAUUAACAAUAACAAAAAGGGGUUUUUUCAGUAUGUUAACAGCAAGAGAAAGGUGAGGGAUAAUGUGGGCCCACUGAUGGAUGAGGUGGGCACCCUAGUAGUGGAAGACACGGAGAAAGCAGAGUUGCUGAAUGCCUUCUUUUCUUCAGUCUUCACUGUUAGGACUACCCCUCAUGAAUCUGUGGCCUUAGAGGCAAGGGGGAUGGUAUGGAGAGAGGAAAUUUUUCCUCUAGUAGAGGAGGGCCAGGUUCGGGACCACUUGGCCAAACUGGACAUUCAUAAGUCCAUGGGGCCUGAUGGGUUGCACCCACGAGUGCUGAGGGAGCUGGCAGACGUUAUCGCUGGACCACUCUCGAUCAUCUUUGAGAAGUCGUGGAGAACAGGAGAGGUGCCUGAGGACUGGAGGAAGGCCAACAUCACUCCAGUCUUCAAAAAGGGCAAGAAGGAGGACCCUGGGAACUACAGACCAGUUAGUCUCACCUCUGUCCCUGGGAAGGUGAUGGAGAGACUCAUACUAGAUGUCAUCUCCAAACAAGUUGAAGAGUGGGGGGUUAUUGGAAGUGGGCAACACGGGUUUACCAAGGGUAAAUCAUGUAUGACCAAUCUGAUAGCCUUCUAUGAUGCCAUAACCGGUUGGUUGGAUGAG
rnacentral:lncRNA from 1 species